UACGUAGGUGGCAAGCGUUGUCCGGAUUUACUGGGCGUAAAGGGCGUGCAGGCGGUUUGUUAAGUGCAGGGUGAAAGCUCCCGGCUCAACUGGGAGAGGUCCUUGCAUACUGGCGAGCUCGAGGGAGGCAGAGGAAAGUGGAAUUCCCGGUGUAGUGGUGAUAUGCGUAGAUAUCGGGAGGAACACCUGUGGCGAAGCCGGCUUUCUGGGCCUUACCUGACGCUGAGACGCGAAAGCGUGGGGAGCGAACCGG
rnacentral:rRNA from 1 species